rnacentral:lncRNA from 1 species
GCAGGAACGAGACCACCUAAUCCUUCUAUUCUCCAUAGUCAUCGUCAUGGACCACGUUCAAAACCUGCUAAACAAUUUUCAGUACGAUUUGUACUGGCCACUGGCUCCCACCCUAUGCUUUUGCGUAAGCUUUGUGGCAAGUGGAAUGCAGAGGGUAGAUCAAGAGGCCUAUAUAUGGCUGUAGUUUUUCCUAUGCAAGUUCAUCAAUAUUUUAUAAUAAUAAUUCAUCAAGUUUUAAUCCAUCUCAACCACACAUCCAUCCAUCCAUCCAUCCAUCCCAUCCUGGACAUCUCACCACACUCUCACUCUCUAGGCGGCAAGUACGACUCCCGCUCGUGCCUUGCCUCAACGGCCAACGCCGGAUCCAACACAAACCCAGGGGAAGGUAGAAAGGACUCCUUUCUCUAGUCAAGUGAAGCUGUACUUAGGAAAGGUCCAUAGCCGACGAGUCGGCAUAUGUAUCGAUCGAUCAACCAAAACUCUGCAGAGGUUUGCACUAACCACAAGAUCACCAUCAUCGACGAAGGCCCUCGUCUAGGCUGAUUCCGGGCUGCCUUCCAACUAAACACGAUGCCACCCUACCACUCAGAACUGGGACCAUACCGGAGUACCACCGGUACGCUGAGACUGUGAGGCAUAGUACCGGGCCCCAAAGGUCACUACGCUGUCUUAGGAGGGUGUGGGUCCUCAUGCCCGUACCUCCCUACACUAUCCGCUAACAACCUAGUAGUAGUGGCACCGCCCUAGCUGGUCGUACAUUCGUCUCCUUCCCAUAAGAUCGAGUGGGGUGCAAGGCUUCCUAAGACCCGGUCCACCGAACAUAUCAGUCCUUAGGGUGACCAAACAGGAUAUCUUCACGAGGGGCCAACCGAUGCCCGGCUCGACGGGACAUCCGAUUACCCCGUGCUAAACAGCACCUCCCAUCCCGGCGCUUCGUCCCACGAAGACACUCCACUCCGGGACCUCUCCCUGUCACAUGUACCCGCCACAGGUAUCUCUCAUGGAGGACGCCCAGGUAGCGUCCUCCGGCAAGACUUGUCCCAAGACUCGUCGUAGAUCCUGCUCGGUCGACUCAACCCUCACCACACACCCAAGACACACGCCAAGAUCUCCCCAAUUCCAUUACCAUCUCAUUAUCCAGUUAUCGGCACCUCGUGCCUUAUCCACUCACAUCCAAUCUCCCACAUUGCAUCACAUCACAGAUAUAAUGCGUAGCAGAAGCAGUAGCAAGUAGUAUGCAGCUUCUAACCUAACAGCGGGUGUGCAAGGGUUAUAGGUUGCAACAAGGCAAUGGCUCACAAGCAUUUCUAUCAUGCAACCUAUCUCAUUUCAUUUGCAUAAAAGUAAAGCACUAGCAUCUAUAAUAUUGCAUGUCUAAUAGGAAUCUACGAGGUUGGGUGGGACGUGGCACCUGUCGAGUGACAUCUCCAAGAUCCUCAGUUCACUUGUAGUUGUACUCAUCCAAGAUCCUCCUUUCCGCAUGUUCUUCCUUCAACUGGUCCUGGUCCGAUCAACGCUAACCUCGAAGCGACUACCUCGAAAGCGACAAACAAGGCGAAACAAUCAAACCACUAGACCUCGAAAGACUACGAAAAGAGACGACAUAACACUGAGGAACAACUACACUAAAAGAGCAACGAAAGGAAAACGGCUUAGCCCUCUCGGCGGAUGUCCGAUCUCUGGGCUAAAAGAAUUGGGAAUGGUUGUUCACUAAGUACAAGCUGGAGUCUUAGCCUAGCCGGUACUUCCUGGGUCGACUAAGUCAACCUAUACGACUUUAAUAAUUGGCUUAGACCCUAACUUAUCAUAAGAAAACACCAUAGCUAGUGGCUCUUCGAUCCAAGCGUCACGGAGAUCGACAGGAAUCGAAAAGACUAUGAGCACGUGAAGUUCCGGUCUCUCUCAAUGCAUACGCCAUUGUAGUUGGCGAGAGCCAAGAGAGGGUGGAACAAGGAGAGAAGAAAAGGGGAGUGGUCUGCUUCUUCCCAUCCACUCGCCAUGGUAAGAGACGAGGGAUUAGAAAGAGUGACACACAAGGAACACGAGUACUCAAACCACUUGUAGGGUACCACAACCUAGGUGCACUAAAUGCACUAUGACAUCACUAAGGUUCUUUGCGGUGCGGUUGUCACCACAAGAACCAAAGAAAUGCUACGAUCGAUAUAGGUACAAGCAUACAAGAGUUUAAGCACGAAGAACCAAAAAGGCGGGAAAAGACACGGGAUUCACCUUCCUUUGAUCCGCUCGCCAUAGUAACGACGGGAAUCGCGGGAUUGGAAACAAAACAUCAAACAAGCAAAAGGGGCUUAAUCCCCAUCUUACUGGAUCGACGGGAUUGAGAACAAGAGAGAAGAAGAAUGGAGUCCAUACUCUUUCGACCAACUCAUCAUGGAACAACGACGGUUGGAUAAAAGGAAUACGACCCCACGAUCCCAACCCACUCGUAGGGCACCAUGACUGUGCAUCUAAAUCAGCACAAGGCUAUUCCUAAGGCCCAUAGCGAUGUGGUUGUCACCGCUAGGUCCGAGGGAAUGCUAUAGUCGAAGUGGUACAAGCAUACGAGGUGGUUAGGAUAAACACGGGAGAAAUGGGGUAAAGCCCAAUGGCCAUGGCAAGGUGGACUCGCGGCCAUGAGCUUCACCUAACGAGUUUCUCCGAUAGUUCUACGAAGGUUGUCCCCUAAUUCGUAUCCCACUAGACUAGGUCAUUUAGGUCUCGAGUGUGCGGGUAAGAACCGCGUCGUUAACGACAUCGAGUCCACGAUGACCACGUCCGAGGGACGGAAAUAGGAGCUAACGACCGUAGCGCAACGAAGUCAACUAAUCACAGGGAAUGAGUUACGCUCGGCAUCGCGAUCACGGCGGGACGAACCCACGAUCGAAAUGAUCGAACGCUCUACCAUUUUCCCUAACCGGCUCGAAGGCUCGGUCCUCAGGCAUGCAAAUAACAAAAGAAGGAACAACGGAAAUACGAGAGAAGGGACAUGCUCGGCAUUACGGCCAUGGCGAGACGAACUCGCGAUCGCAACAUUCAAACACGUCACUCUCUCAACCGGCUCGACGGCACGGUCCACAACGACAAGAACAAAAGCACAAAUUGCAACACUAACAAGACGACGACUCGGAGUAGCACAUUUCCAUAGCGACCAAAAGAGAUAGAGUAGACCGGCGCGAAGGCACGGCACAGGCAAAGAUAUAAUAGAGACAGAUCAAGCAUUAAACGAGAUCGGAGAUGACUGAUCAAGUAUCACCGGUAUACAAAGGUAUAAGAAAGAAGGACAAGGGUUUUGUCGACGUCACGAAGGGCAUCGACAUAGUUCAAGGUUCGACCUUGCUGGUGCCGAGGAUGGGCGAGGCUUGUCGCAGAGCGCCCAGGUGAACUUGGCUAGCUGCAACAUGUCCUGGACCACUGUGGUUUGCUACUGGAGGCCGAAGUUGGGCAUGACAGCACGAUCCAAGAGAAACCGCGACUCUAGCAAAACGAUAUAGCGAAGCCACCGCUCCCCUGCAACAGUGAAGGUUCACAGCGCGAAGGCCGGUCUCAGUCUGGAACGCGACAGAAGGGAAAAAGAAGGGGACUUAGGCACUGGUGGCUCAUCGGCGGCAGAGAAGAGCUUCGCGUGGGGUGGUGCUGCCGCUGCUGCACGUUCAGCUUGGUGGAGGGGGUGUUCGCGAUCACCACGGCGAGGUGAGCACGACUUCACGGACGGUGCAGGGUCCCUGAGCUUGGCGUCACGACUGCUCGUUCACGUCCCAUGGCUUGGCGCGGAGGACGUCGCGGCAAGGUGGGGCGCUGGGCGUGAAGGCGAGGGACAGGGUGCGUCGAGGUCGCCGUGCGAGGGUGGCACCGUUGGCGCGGCUGAUGCCGAGGUGCGCGCGCGGCUCGGCCGGGGCUCCCUGGACUCGUUCCAGAGGAGGUCGCGGCGUCGUGGCUCGGAGCAGAGGCACGACCGCGGCGUCGCGACGAGGUUGGGGCUGCGGUGGCGAGGACGACAUGGAGGCGAUGUCGCAGUGCUUGGGCUCGAAGGCGAGGACGGGGCCGUGGACGACGUCGCGUGCAGCUCGGCGUUGCGGCGGCUCGGCGUUGGCGUCGUGAACGCCGGUGGAGCAGAGGUGGUCGGGGUCCCCGCGCUCGGCGAGGGCGAGGCCGACGCAGCGUGGCUCGAUGGAGCACCGGGCGGCGUCGUGACGAGGAGGAGCUCGCGGUGCGGUGGUCGAUGGAGAGCUUUGUCGGGGGUCGCAGUUCGCGGACAGAGCGGCGUCCGCGGCAAGCUCGGAGCCGCGCUCGGCUCGGCGUCGCGGCGGCUCGGCAGCGGAUGCCGGGGACGGGGCUCGGCGCGGCCGGCGUCGGGGCUCGACGUCGGGGCAGGGGCUUCGAGGUGCUUGGCUCGGUGGACGGCAGCAGCUGCGCGAGGCCAGGAAUGGAGCAGAGGGCGGCGGCGGCCAUGGCUUUUAUAGCGCGGUGCCCUAGGGUUCCAGAGGCAGUGCGUCCAUCCUCGGCGUCCGUGCCGCGAAUGGGACACGCGGCGCACAUCGCGGGUGCGCGCAGUACAGAGCUAGAGGGCGCGGGUGUUUGGGAGCUGAGGCAGGCGCGAGCGCAGGUUCGGCUCUGCCUUGGGCGACGGCGGCGCUGCUCUGGGCAGGAGUCGCCCCCUAGGGUUGGCCAUGGAGCCGGGGGGCGCUGGCUGGGCCUUGGGCCGGGAGGCCAGCUGGGUCGCGCGCGCGGGUUGGGUCGGGGUAAGUGUUGCGCGUGUGCGUGGGCCAAGCGGGGCGCUUGCGCAGCUGGGCCAAGGAGAGGGGGCAGGGGGGGUGCUGGGCUUUUGCCUGCUUGCGUAUGGGCCAAAAUAGGAGGCAGGGAGCUAGCUUGGUCCAAGAGAAAGAAAAGGAGUUUCCAAUUCCUUUUGGAAACAAAUGAGAUGGAGGUUCUUUCCUAUUUGCUAAAAUGAUUGGGAGAGAAAGGAAAAAGAAAUUGAGAUGAGUUGUCACGAAUUUAAUAUGAUUUACCAGUGGAGAUCUGAAAUGAGAUCAACAAGGAAGGCGGUUUGAGAAGGGAAUUUGGAAAAGAGUUCAAAAUGGAUUAAAGGAGUUUGAGACGUACUCCAAUGAAAAGAUUGAGAAAGGAUUUGCUUCGCCUUGGAGAUAGGCUCAACAGAGAUAUGGGUUUGGGCACUCCAAAAGGAACUUAAAACCCUAAACAAGACCCAACUCAAGACGACUCACGGAUAAGAGCACCCAUCUACAAACAAAUCUAUAUGUAUGCCACGAUUUGUUAGCGGGUUAGGAUCGAGUUUGACCUAAAUACUAUAUGAUUCACACGAUUACAGGAAAAAUUUUAAAAAUCUCGUAUUUUUGAUUUUCGUAAAAAUCUGGGAUGUUACAGUCCACCCACCUUACAGGAAUCUCGUCCCCGAGAUUUAGGCGUUGCUCGGUCGGUGAAGAGACGAGGGUGUCGUUCUCAAAGCCUUUCUUACUUCUGAGUUGUUUCACUUUCAAUGUGAUCGCUCCACAAUCCUUUGCCAAAAUAGGAGUGAGUCAUGUUUUGGGUGUAUCCAGGGCUCAGUCACGGGUGUUGGGUGUCCAAAUUCUUACAGCAAGGCGAUGGGUAUCCAAGAAUUGCAUCGGGUUUAUGUACAUCUGGCCCUUGAAGGUGAGACUAUUGUUAGGCUUAAACGUAGCUAGGGUUGUUGGCUUUCACCAGCUGUUUUUCAUGCAUCACCUUUGCAAAAAGCUUUUGAAGGGAAGAUUUUCUAGAAAACAGGUCUCAUAAACGGAGUGAAAGCGGUUUCACAAGGUCAAGUUUUUUUUUUUAAAAAAUUUUUUUUUAGACUUCAAAAUGAAGAGAGCCUUUGAAGAGGGUUCAAAUCAAUGCAAGUUUUGAAAACCAACUUUUCUGAAGGUUUUGCUAUAAAAGAUUUUAAAUCAAGAGAUUUUUUUUAAAUUCUUUUAUUUUAUUAUUAUUAUUUUCUUUAAAACAAGGUAUUGCUCCCUUUUUAUUUGAGUCAAACAAAACUAGUUUUGAAAAUGACUAGAAAUCAUUUCUCAUUUUGAAAGGUAAAGUUUUAACAACAAUAGCAUUUUCUUUUAAAACUUGUAAGUUCAUUUUGUUUUUGCUAAAUUUUUGGAAGGUCGCAAACAAAAAUCUUUUCGCAAUGGUUUUUGUUUAAUAAAUCACUGGCAAUUCCUUUUUCCUUUAAAACCAGGUUGACUUUUGAAAGGAAUUUGGCUCUUGAGAUGAAAUCAAAGGCCUUUAAAACAAAAUUGAGCCAAAGAUACUUUGAUUUAAAAACCACUUUGUUGAGCGAAAAUCAAAACUUUUGUUUUUCUGAAGCGAUUUUGUCAUACCUUUUGCAAGAUGACUUGUUUUAAACCGUUUCAUAAAUAGCUUUUGAAUAAAAUUGAGUUGAGAAAGGAGUUUAAAAUUGCUUUUAUUUGUGAAAAUGGAAGAUUUUGAGAGAGUUUUGAAACACUUUUCCAUUGGAAAUAUAGAUGCUUUUGUUAAAGAGGGGAUAUUUUAACCAAAAGGAGAGAAAAAUUUUCAACCAAAGGGGGCAAUUUUGAAGACAAGUUUAGUUGGAAACCAAAAACAGUUUUGAAAUAGGUGGGCAAGACAUGAUGCAUCAGCUUUACUCCCUUUUUCAGCUCUGUUAGCGAGGGUCACCUAUCUAGUCUCGGACGGUCUUAGGUUUAGCCGACUAGGUUGGACGGGACCCAGAGUCUUUCUCGCAUAAAACAGUUCAAUGGCAUACACUCAAACAACAAGAAGCGGAAGAAGCGCAAGAACAUAAGAUCCAAGCACUCAAACAGCAUUACAACUCCUAAUGCAUAGUGUUGACUUGAGGCGACUCUCAAGCCUUCAAAGUCUCACACGACUAUCGAUCUAGCGUGGGCGGGUAUGGGAAAAGUUUUCCAACGGUCCACUUUAUGAAACAGGGAGGUCAGUUAGCAGCAGAAUUCAAGGCGGAGGGGGAAAACAAGUGUUAGCAUCUAUAACCCUACAAAAGAUAGAAUGUUUGGCUUCUAAACUAGUUUUUGGUACUAAUGGUCUCGUCCUAGGGUCAAGUAUGGCUCUGAUACCAACUGAAACGACCUAGAUUUUUCCAAAAAGGGAAAAAUCCACAGAUUCGAAUUAUAAUGUGAUAAUUCAAAAAUUGAACCAUCUCAUUAUCAUAUAUCAGUCGUUAUCAUAGUCAUACAUCGUGAGAAACAAAAUUACAACACAUUUACUUUACAACUCUUGGUCAACAAGCCUAUUACAUCGUUUUUCUAGCGGAAACACACACGGGUCUCUAUCAGAGUCGAUGUAGCGCGUCAGCGGUGAAGGCUCCUCCUUCACGGGAAAUCAUCAGAGUCGGCGUAGUUUAUCAGCGGGCGUAGCCUUCAUCUCCGAACCAAACUUGAGCGCAGGAACGAGACCACCUAAUCCUUCUAUUCUCUGUAGUCAUCGUCAUGGACCAUGUUCAAAACCUGCUAAACAAUUUUCAGUACGAUUUGUACUGGCCACUGGCUCCCACCCUAUGCUUUUGCGUAAGCUUUGUGGCAAGUGGAAUGCAGAGGGUAGAUCAAGAGGCCUAUAUAUGGCUGUAGUUUUUCCUAUGCAAGUUCAUCAAUAUUUUAUAAUAAUAAUUCAUCAAGUUUUAAUCCAUCUCAACCACACAUCCAUCCAUCCAUCCAUCCCAUCCCGGACAUCUCACCACACUCUCACUCUCUAGGCGGCAAGUACGACUCCCGCUCGUGCCUUGCCUCAACGGCCAACGCCGGAUCCCACACAAACCCAGGGGAAGGUAGAAAGGACUCCUCUCUCUAGUCAAGUGAAGCUGUACUUAGGAAAGGUCCAUAGCCGACGAGUCGGCAUAUGUAUCGAUCGAUCAACCAAAACUCUGCAGAGGUUUGCACUAACCACAAGAUCACCAUCAUCGACGAAGGCCCUCGUCUAGGCUGAUUCCGGGCUGCCUUCCAACUAAACACGAUGCCACCCUACCACUCAGAACUGGGACCAUACCGGAGUACCACCGGUACGCUGAGACUGUGAGGCGUAGUACCGGGCCCCAAAGGUCACUACGCUGUCUUAGGAGGGUGUGGGUCCUCAUGCCCGUACCUCCCUACACUAUCCGCUAACAACCUAGUAGUAGUGGCACCGCCCUAGCUGGUCGUACAUCCGUCUCCUUCCCAUAAGAGCGAGUGGGGUGCAAGGCUUCCUAAGACCCGGUCCACCGAACAUAUCAGUCCUUAGGGUGACCAAACAGGAUAUCUUCACGAGGGGCCAACCGAUGCCCGGCUCGACGGGACAUCCGAUUACCCCGUGCUAACAAGCACCUCCCAUCCCGGCGCUUCGUCCCACGAAGACACUCCACUCCGGGACCUCUCCCUGUCACAUGUACCCGCCACAGGUAUCUCUCAUGGAGGACGCCCAGGUAGCGUCCUCCGGCAAGACUUGUCCCAAGACUCGUCGUAGAUCCUGCUCGGUCGACUCAACCCUCACCACACACCCAAGACACACGCCAAGAUCUCCCCAAUUCCAUUACCAUCUCAUUAUCCAGUUAUCGGCACCUCGUGCCUUAUCCACUCACAUCCAAUCUCCCACAUUGCAUCACAUCACAGAUAUAAUGCGUAGCAGAAGCAGUAGCAAGUAGUAUGCAGCUUCUAACCUAACAGCGGGUGUGCAAGGGUUAUAGGUUGCAACAAGGCAAUGGCUCACAAGCAUUUCUAUCAUGCAACCUAUCUCAUUUCAUUUGCAUAAAAGUAAAGCACUAGCAUCUAUAAUAUUGCUUGUCUAAUAGGAUUCUACGAGGUUGGGUGGGACGUGGCACCUGUCGAGUGACAUCUCCAAGAUCCUCAGUUCACUUGUAGUUGUACUCAUCCAAGAUCCUCCUUUCCGCAUGUUCUUCCUUCAACUGGUCCUGGUCCAAUCAACGCUAACCUCGAAGCGACUACCUCGAAAGCGACAAACAAGGCGAAACAAUCAAACCACUAGACCUCGAAAGACUACGAAAAGAGACGACAUAACACUGAGGAACAACUACACUAAAAGAGCAACGAAAGGAAAACGGCUUAGCCCUCUCGGCGGAUGUCCGAUCUCUGGGCUAAAAGAAUUGGGAAUGGUUGUUCACUAAGUACAAGCUGGAGUCUUAGCCUAGCCGGUACUUCCUGGGUCGACUAAGUCAACCUAUACGACUUUAAUAAUUGGCUUAGACCCUAACUUAUCAUAAGCAAACACCAUAGCUAGUGGCUCUUCGAUCCAAGCGUCACGGAGAUCGACAGGAAUCGAAAAGACUAUGAGCACG